GCGCUCGUAGCUCAGUUGGAUAGAGCGUCUGGCUACGAACCAGAAGGUCGGGAGUUCGAAUCUCUCCGAGCGCGCCA
rnacentral:tRNA from 2 species